AUGUAUAAUUAGUUGUGAUCGCUAUUUAAUCGAAAUGAUAAUAAUGAGGGGACGUGUGGGCGGAGCGACACCUGUAGCCCCGCCCCGUUCACCCGUUCAGCAGCCAGUUCCCUCCCUGAGGAGUGAUGUACGAUUCAUUUGAUCCGUUUGAUUCAUUUAGUUCAACAUUUUAAUGUUAUAUUUGGGAUUUAUUUAUUUGUAUUGUUGCCUACAUUAGUUGUAUAAAAAUCAAAAUGAAGUGAAGACAAUAAAGCAAAAUGAGGACAUGUUUUCAGCGUCACCGACUGCUCCUACUUUUCCUUUUCCUAUCAGAGAUCUUCAGCUCUGUUGGUGGAUCUUCAGUUCAGGAGGUGAUCGGUGCUGUAGGCGAGUCUGUUACAUUCACUACCAGUGUACCUGUUUCUGGAAAUCUAAUUUAUAAAGGUGACACAGUUGGACAGGUGUUGAAUAAACAGAGUGACACAAACAUCAGUGAGAAGUUUAUGAAUCGUCUUGAUUGGGUCAGUCAGAGUGGGUUCUUCACUCUCUCAGACCUGAGAACAGAUGAUUCAGGACUUUACACAGUGGAGAGCAUUAAAGAGCCGAAAGGAAGACAGGAUUAUCAGCUGGAGGUGUACGAGAGAGUUUCAGCUCCUCAGGUGAAGAACACAACCUACAAUUCUUCAGAGUUCUGUUCAUUACUGUGUUCUGUGAGGAACGUCAGAGGACUGAAGCUGGAUUUGUAUGAAGACGAUGUUUUAUUAAAUCACACCAGCAGCAGCAACACAUCCGACACCACACUGAAUCUUCAUCUAGAAAUAAAGAAGACGGACAAUCACAGAUGGAGAACCUUCAGCUGUGUGGCUUCCAACCGAGUCAGUACCGAGAAAACCACGAUCGACAUCACACACUACUGCUCUCUGAACACAGGUGCUGAUGAUAAUAAGAAAUGGAUAAGAAAAGUGAUCAUUGCCGUUGUGGUUUCUGUGCUGUCUGUCCUGGCAGUAAUUGUGAUGUUUGUGUAUCUGUGGAAAAGGAAGCAGAGUGAAUCCCGUCGGCGUACAGAAGGCAGACUCAUCUGCAACUGAAGGACUGAAUGAAGAAGUACAGUAUUCUGUGGUAAAUCAUAAAAAACCCACUCAGGCAAAUAUACGAGAACGUGUCCCUGAGGAAGCAUGUCCACUAACGACGAUUUAUGACCAAAUCAGACCAGAGAGGUCUGCGUACAGCAAUAGCGGACCUGAAUAAAGCAGAACUGAACAGAGCUUAUCUUAUUAUUUUGUUUGGGAAAAAAAACAUUUCACAAAGACAUUUCUUUCAUUCAUUUAUUCCAGAAAUUCCAUCUUGAUACAAAAAAAGUUUAAAAAACUAACAAAAAAAGGAUUUUUAAAGUCUAAAACAUUUCACGGUGCAUACGUAUGUGUUCCUUAUUCACACGACGGAAGAUCUUCCGCUUAACAGAAGGCUUUUGAACUUUUUUUUUCAGUUUAAUGCCGAAGGAAAAAGUUACAAUGAAGGUCUCUCAUUUCAUAACGAAGUUAAUUUAUUUAAAUAAAAAAAAUU